UGGCUCAGUUGGUAGAGCAUGGUGUUUGCAACGCCAGGGUCGUGGGUUCAUUUCCCAC
rnacentral:tRNA from 1 species